rnacentral:lncRNA from 1 species
AAACUGCCCCACCCCUGGCACACAGGGAAAACGGUGCUUAUAUGUGUAAUAUGCUCUCAUGGAUACAUGCAAUAUGACUAGUAAUUUUUGCCUUGUGAUGUAAAUUCUCUUUCUUCCUCACUCAGAAAAACAUAUUGUAGUUGAAAAAAAAAAAAGAAUUCUGGCCAGGCAUGGUGGCUCAUGCCUAUAAUCCCAGCACUUUGGGAGGCUGAGGUAGGUGGAUCAUCUGAGGUCAGAUCGAAACCAGCCUGGCCAACAUGGCAAAACCCCAUCUGUACUAAAAAUACAAAAAUUAGCCAGGCACGGUGGCAGGUGCCUGUAAUACCAGCUACUCAAGAGGCCGAGACAGGAGCAUUCCUUGAACCUGGGAGGCGGAGGUUGCAGUGAGCUGAGAUUGCACCAUUGUACUCCAGCCUGCUCAGCAGAGUGAGACUCAGUCUCAAAAACCAAAAGAAUUCUGAUUCUUUCUGAGUGUGUGUGUGUGAGGGGGGACACAAAUUUAGACUGAAACUUUGCUAAAUAAUAGGUUAUUACUGAUCCAGAUACAUUAGGGUAGUGAGAACAGUAAGUCUGGAAAAGAAAAGGAUUGUUAGCAGUACACAUACACUCUCCCACACAUAGAACAAUGCUUGGGUCUACUGCAUUUUAAUAUCCGCUGAACAGGUAGUGUGAAUUCACAUCAUUUUAGCGAUGGGAAAACAGAAAAUUGCGGAGAGCUUAACUGAAUUUCCUGAGGUCAUGGUGAUUGGGGAAGACAAGCUACAACUCUGUCAAGUGUCUCAUUCCAUUUUCAGAGGAGCAGAGGUCAGGUGCCUCCUACGGUUGAGGUCUCGCCAGAAAGACCAUGGUCGCAUUCCUCAGCACUCAGGCAAGUGUUUUGAUGCCUGGGUGCCCCUACCUGGUGAGCCCAGCAUUCACGAAGCAUACGUGACAGGAGAACGGUUGGAAUAUUGCUCAACAUUGUCAGGUCGACGGCACUGGCUGCAUGUAAUUUGAGAAGAGUUAUAGAAUGUCAGCCAGACUUUUAUGACGCACUCCUCUCCUCUUCCUGAGGAUUGUUUGCAUGUAGAGAUUUUCUGCCUGCAUUUUUAGUGUCAAAUUUUUUGUGGUUUCUCAAGUCCCUUCGGCCAUGUCUUACUGACUUACGUAGAAACCCUGAUAAAGCUGAUGACCACUGAAUGGAAAGAAGUCAGUGUGGAAAGCCCAGGAAUUGUCCCAUAGCUGGCCCUGUAGGUUUGCACAGGUUCCCCAGAAUAAGUUUGCAGAUAGCUUCACUUCCAGGAGUCCUGAGUUUCACUAGUUCCCCUUCUUUAUGAUGAAUUGAAAAAAGGAUUUAUUCUGGGGUAAAGCAAAAGGGAACAGGGUACAGCAAAGAUCCCUAGAUCAUUUUUCCCAGUGGCCCAUUGCUCCUGCUGCUUUUUUCACGCCAGCUGGAUCUCCCCAAGCCCCAUGUCUGCAGCAAAGUCUCCGUGGUGAAACAG